UCAAUGCGUGUACAUUUCGCUAUAAUGAGGUUGAGCUCCUGAGGGCCGGUGAAGUUGCCAACGCAGGAGUGGGUGACGUUGGUGGGCUUGUGAGCGGUGACGACAUAGUUCCAGACGCUCAUCUUGAAGCUAUGAAAUGGUGCGAUGGUUCCGUGGGCAAAAACCCUAGGCUAAGGCUUGCCGCUUAGUGAAGGUGGGGAGUAAUGGCUAUUGUGUGCGUUCCAG
rnacentral:misc_RNA from 1 species